ACCGCGGCCGGCCGCACC
rnacentral:miRNA from 1 species